UACGGGGGGAGCAAGCGUUGUUCGGAUUUACUGGGCGUAAAGGGCGCGUAGGCGGCCACUGCAAGUCGGUUGUGAAAUCUCCGGGCUUAACCCGGAAAGGUCAAUCGAUACUGCAGGGCUAGAGUGCGGAAGGGGCAACUGGAAUUCUCGGUGUAGCGGUGAAAUGCGUAGAUAUCGAGAGGAACACCUGCGGCGAAGGCGGGUUGCUGGGCCGACACUGACGCUGACAGCGCGAAAGCUAGGGGAGCAAACAGG
rnacentral:rRNA from 1 species